AACGAACGCUGGCGGCAUGCCUAACACAUGCAAGUCGAACGAGAUCUUCGGGUCUAGUGGCGCACGGGUGCGUAACGCGUGGGAAUCUGCCCUUUGGUUCGGAAUAACAGUUGGAAACGACAGCUAAUACCGGAUGAUGACGAAAGUCCAAAGAUUUAUCGCCAGAGGAUGAGCCCGCGUAGGAUUAGCUAGUUGGUGUGGUAAAGGCGCACCAAGGCGACGAUCCUUAGCUGGGCUGAGAGGAUGAUCAGCCACACUGGGACUGAGACACGGCCCAGACUCCUACGGGAGGCAGCCGUGGGGAAUAUUGGACAAUGGGCGAAAGCCUGAUCCAGCAAUACCGCGUGAGUGAUGAAGGCCUUAGGGUUGUAAAGCUCUUUUACCCGGGAUGAUAAUGACAGUACCGGGAGAAUAAGCUCCGGCUAACUCCGUGCCAGCAGCCGCCGUAA
rnacentral:rRNA from 1 species